rnacentral:tRNA from 1 species
GGUUCCAUGGUGUAAUGGUUAGCAUUCAAGACUCUGAAUCUUGCGAUUCGAGUUCUUAUCUCGAUGGAACAU